rnacentral:rRNA from 1 species
UACGUAGGGGGCAAGCGUUGUCCGGAUUUAUUGGGCGUAAAGAGCGUGUAGGCGCCAGGUAGGUCCGUUGUGAAAACUCGAGGCUCAACCUCGAGACGUCGGCGGAAACCCUCUGGCUAGAGUCCGGAAGAGGAGAGUGGAAUUCCUGGUGUAGCGGUGAAAUGCGCAGAUAUCAGGAAGAACACCCGUGGCGAAGGCGGCGUCUCUGGGACGGUACUGACGCUGAGACGGCGAAAGCGUGGGGAGCGAACAGG